AGAGGAAGAGAGGAGAGAGGGAGAGAGGAGAGGCAGAACAAACACCCACUAAGCACCCAUGGCUAUGAACUUUCAAGAAAACGUGACCCUGGCCAUGGCGGUCUUCAGCAUCCUGGCCUCCAUCUACUUCUUCAACAAGGCUCAGCACUAAGAAGGCCCAGAAUGCAGCGGCCCCACCUCCACUUGAUCCAUAGCUCCCACUCUGACCCCAAAUAAAUGUGACUGAAGCAGCA